rnacentral:rRNA from 1 species
GAUGAACGCUGGCGGCGUGCUUAACACAUGCAAGUCGAACGAAGCACCUUAUUCUGAUUUCUUCGGAAUGAAAAAUUUGGUGACUGAGUGGCGGACGGGUGAGUAACGCGUGGGUAACCUGCCUCAUACAGGGGGAUAACAGUUAGAAAUGACUGCUAAUACCGCAUAAGACCACAGCACCGCAUGGUGCAGGGGCAAAAACUCCGGUGGUAUGAGAUGGACCCGCGUCUGAUUAGGUAGUUGGUGGGGUAACGGCCUACCAAGCCGACGAUCAGUAGCCGACCUGAGAGGGUGACCGGCCACAUUGGGACUGAGACACGGCCCAAACUCCUACGGGAGGCAGCAGUGGGGAAUAUUGCACAAUGGGGGAAACCCUGAUGCAGCGACGCCGCGUGAGCGAUGAAGUAUUUCGGUAUGUAAAGCUCUAUCAGCAGGGAAGAAAAUGACGG